rnacentral:sRNA from 17 species
UGGACAGGGGGGUUCCUGCUGACCGGCAGGGCCUGUCCAGCAGGUCGCGCGAAGGCGUGAUCAGUGGUUGUCGCUCGGGGGUGAUCGCCG